rnacentral:rRNA from 1 species
UACGUAGGGCGCAAGCGUUGUCCGGAAUUAUUGGGCGUAAAGAGCGUGUAGGCGGCCAUGUAGGUCCGGUGUGAAAACUCGAGGCUUAACCUCGAGAUGUCAUCGGAAACCAUUUGGCUAGAGUCCGGAAGAGGAGAGUGGAAUUCCUGGUGUAGCGGUGAAAUGCGCAGAUAUCAGGAAGAACACCAAUGGCGAAAGCAGCUCUCUGGGACGGUACUGACGCUGAAGCGCGAAAGCGUGGGGAGCAAACGGG